rnacentral:lncRNA from 1 species
AAGACUUCAAACAGCAAUCUUUUGAAACAAAAUUUUGUCUCAGAGUUUCUAAUUGUUUUUGGUACAAUGAUAGUUUGACUUUGGAAACUCAUGCUCCAUGAAGAGUAGCGAUGGAAUAUAAAAUUUUGGCUGAAGUGUUGCUUCUCCUGAGCCAAAUAAUCAGGCUAUGAAGUUCCUUCAAGUUCUCUGCAUCCUUCCUGUGAUAAGAUUAACACUUCAGAUCUUCUGCGAAGGAAGAAUCUGGAAUAUUCACUUCCAAACAACCCCUUUUGUUGUGUCAGCCUGAGGCCCAUCACUUGCCCUUUUCAGCAAAGCGUUUAAAUAUUUUAAUGAAUUCCA